rnacentral:rRNA from 1 species
UACGGAGGGUGCAAGCGUUAAUCGGAAUUACUGGGCGUAAAGCGCACGUAGGUGGUUUUCUAAGUCAGCUGUGAAAUCCCCGGGCUCAACCUGGGACUUGCAGUUGAAACUGGAAAGCUAGAGUAGGGUAGAGGGGUGUGGAAUUCCAGGUGUAGGCGGUGAAAUGCGUAGAUAUCUGGAGGAACAUCAGUGGCGAAGGCGAGCAC